CCUGAGAAACCCGAAAGAUCGAAUGGGGAGAUUCAUCGUCAGCGAUUUUGGUACGUGUGCGGUUCGGGAUGCCGGUGACUUCGGUCACUCGACACUCGUCUGCAUGUUUAUUAUUGCCUGAAUCGUCGGCGUGCACUUCUCCCCUAGUAGGACGUCGCGACCCGUUGGGUGUCGGUCUACGGCUCGGAUGGUAGCCUGUCUCGCGUGCGUCUCACGGCGUUUCGCGGGUCAGACCUUCGAUCGCCCGACCGGCUGCUCGGCGGUACUCGCACGGUAUCUGGCCGCAAAUAUUUGAACUGCGUCCGGCCCGUCGCAAGCGAGGCAAGUGUUCCCGGCUGUACGGAUUUAAUGCCGUCGCCGGGCCUUGACAGCUGUUGGUUGACGGUGUCCUGGGACUGGCCAACAAAAUUAUGAUACCGGUCGGCGACGCUACUGCUUUGGGUACUUUCAGGACCCGUCUUGAAACACGGACCAAGGAGUCUAACAUGUGCGCGAGUCAUUGGGAACUAUUAAACCUAAAGGCGCAAUGAAAGUGAAGGUCGGCCUUGCGCCGACCGAGGGAGGAUGGGCCGCGUCACGAUGCGGUCUCGCACUCCCGGGGCGUCUCGUUCUCAUUGCGAGAAGAGGCGCACCCAGAG
rnacentral:rRNA from 1 species